AUGGAGUUUCUGAUGCAGCCUAUACGCGGGUACUUCUUCCCCCCGCUGUCCUUGCGGUUUAUUAGCGACCAGAUGUGUGCUUUGAAAAGAUUUGGUUUGGCCUGGAUCAGAUCCACUUUCCUAGAGGUGGUGGGAGUGAGUUUGGUGCCGCCACCAGUACCGGCGGAGCCGACUGUGGUGGCUACGGUGGUGGAGCAUCAGGUGGUGGUGGAACAGGUGGUGGCGGCGCAGGAGGCUCCGAUGGGCAGCGUGGACGCCCAGAUCUUGGCAGCCAAGGGAGCGUCGGCUGACAUGAGGGACAACUUGCCACCGACCUCGGAGCUGUCAACUGGAAGAUGA
rnacentral:rRNA from 1 species